rnacentral:rRNA from 1 species
UACGUAGGGUGCAAGCGUUGUCCGGAAUUAUUGGGCGUAAAGAGCUCGUAGGCGGUUUGUCGCGUCUGCUGUGAAAAUCCAGGGCUUAACCCUGGACCUGCAGUGGGUACGGGCAGACUGGAGUGCGGUAGGGGAGAUCGGAAUUCCUGGUGUAGCGGUGAAAUGCGCAGAUAUCAGGAGGAACACCGGUGGCGAAGGCGGAUCUCUGGGCCGUAACUGACGCUGAGGAGCGAAAGCAUGGGGAGCAAACGGG